UACGUAGGGAGCAAGCGUUGUCCGGAAUCAUUGGGCGUAAAGCGCGCGUAGGUGGUCCCGUAAGUCCGCUGUGAAAGUCGGGGCUCAACCCUCGAAUGCCGGUGGAUACUGUCGGGCUAGAGUGCGGAAGAGGCGAGUGGAAUUCCGUGGUGUGAGCGGUGAAAUGACGCAGAGUAUCAGGAGGAACACCGAUGGCGAAGGCAGGUCUCUGGGCCACUACUGACGCUGAGAAGCGAAAGCAUGGGGAGCGAACAGG
rnacentral:rRNA from 1 species